UUCAAAAAGGAAAAAAUAUUCUCAUAAUUACGGAUAUCUCUAAUUAAUUGGGGCCAACACUUUAUUUAUUUCCUAAACUCUUUUAGCACUCAAUUACACAAACUUUUCUCACCCAACACUUGAUUUAAUUUCACAAACAAUUCUCACAGAUCAAGCAACACGUUGACAUCAAUUAGAGGAGACGGUUCAGGCGGCAGCGGAUGGGAGGAGGAGGGGCAGAAGCAGAUCGGAGGACAUAGUCCAAGCGGCAGCAAAUCGGAGGAAGAGAGUGAAGAUGAAGCAGUUCUUGAGAAAAAUAUGAUGACAUGGCUGUUGUAGAAGAGUCGGAGAUGACGUUUUUAAGCGCGGCAACCAUUAUUGAAUAUUCUUGCUCUUGGGUAAGACGAGACGACGAAAAUGGAGAAUAAUUCGGCGUCAUCAGCGGCGGAGUUGUGUUUUCGGGGAAUGUUUGCCGCUUAAAAGAUCAUUGCAUUUUGGUGUUUUUACUUUUUAAGAUCGAUUUACCCCUUAUUUUUGUUAAUGUUGCUGUUGUUUUUUGCAUUUGUUGUUUUUCCAUGUUGUUGCUGUUGUUUUCUACUGCUACUGUUAUUUUCUUAGUAUAUUUUUUGUAUGUUUUU